rnacentral:tRNA from 1 species
AUCGUGAGGGUUCAAGUCCCUCUAUCCCCAAAGGGCCCGUUUAACUCCUA